rnacentral:rRNA from 1 species
GACGAACGCUGGCGGCAGGCCUAACACAUGCAAGUCGAGCGGAGCGGCGGACGGGUGAGUAAUGACUAGGAAUCUGCCUGGUCGUGGGGGAUAAAGUCCUGAUACGAGCGCUAAUACCGCAUACUAGCAGAUGAGCCUAGGUCGGAUUGGCUAGUUGGUGGGGAAAAGGCCUACAAAGGCGACGAUCCGUAACUGGUCUGAGUGGAUGAUCAGUCACACUGGAACUGAGACACGGUCCAGACUCCUACGGGAGGCAGCAGUGGGGAAUAUUGGACAAUGGGCGAAAGCCUGAUCCAGCCAUGCGGGGGGUGUGAAGAAGGUCUUCGGAUUGUAAAGUACUUUAAGUCGGGAGGCGUUACCAACAGAAUAAGCACCGGCUAACUUCGUGCCAGCAGCCGCGGUAAUAC